rnacentral:rRNA from 1 species
UACGAAGGGGGCUAGCGUUGCUCGGAAUCACUGGGCGUAAAGCGCACGUAGGCGGAUUGUUAAGUCAGGGGUGAAAUCCUGGAGCUCAACUCCAGAACUGCCUUUGAUACUGGCGACCUUGAGUUCGGGAGAGGUGAGUGGAACUGCGAGUGUAGAGGUGAAAUUCGUAGAUAUUCGCAAGAACACCAGUGGCGAAGGCGGCUCACUGGACCACAACUGACGCUGAGGCGCGAAAGCUAGGGGAGCAAACAGG